rnacentral:lncRNA from 1 species
UGGAGGGCAGGGGGCACAGGACAGUGGUGUGGUAAGGAAGCAUUCUGGGUAUUUGGGGGACACCUGGAAGGAGGUUUGUGUAGAGAAAUUAGUGGCAGGCCAUCCACAGUCCACACAACUUGGGGCACUGCCCUUUCCUAACCUGGGCUUCCUUGGGAUCCUCACCAGCCAUGUCUGAAGAAUGGGGGAGCAAGAACCCAUCAGUACUGACGUGAGGACCACAUGGAUUCAGGCAGCAUCUACUCAGCCUCCUCAGCCUGCAGGGCACCGAGCUAGACAGCUGAUGAGGUGACUCCAGGCCUUGGGGAGCUUCCAGGAGAGUAAGAGAGAUCAAAUUAGAGGGCUGGAGGAAACUGCAAC